rnacentral:hammerhead_ribozyme from 1 species
AUCCAACUGACGAGUCCUAAAUGGGACGAAACGCGCGUCCUGGAU